ACCUGUUUGGUAUUUUUAUUUUCUUUGCAAGAGAGUAACUGCAACGUAACGAUGCCUUAACAUGUACUCACUAGUGCGAGCAACCGAAUUCGCUAUAAAUCCUGCCUGACUUUAUGAGAUAUCGUUUCUAUUUUCUAGAUCCGUACCAGCUUCACCGUCUACGAGAUUUCUACGGUAAGAUUAGACAAAAAUUUGGCACCUGGACACAAGAUGGAGAAGAUUGUGGCCUUACAGACAUCGCGCUAUACUUAACAGAUACGAGAUCUUAAAUAUUAUGCUAUUGACUAUGCUAAGUAUAGCGCGAUGUCUGUAAGGCCACAAUCUCCUCCAUCUUGUGCCAAAUUUUUGUCUAAUCUUAUGGUUGUUCCAACGCUGGCGAACGGAAAAACGCGUGGGUGCUAACGCUAUCAUGGGUAGUACCGAUCAAUUGAUUGAUUUGCCACCGCCUCUCCGGAAAACGGUAUCGAAUCAUUCUCCACCUGUGAGAGAAAGGACGACAAAUGGAGGUAGCGGUUUUAUGCUCGGGCAGUAUUACCAAGAAGUAAAAAAUUUUCAAGAGACACUUUGCUUAGGUAAAACAGAGUAUGGUACUAGUCAUAUCAUCUCAGAAUAACAUUAUAUGUAUAUUUUGCUUCCUCAUAGAGGAAGCUUUGUUUUUAAAAUAUGUAGAGGUUUAGCUGUACAGUGUUGACAUUACGAAUAUCCUGUUCAAGUAGUAUACCAUACAGUUCGCGUUUUUAAAAAUGCUUCAUUAACGACUUCGCGAUUUUCGAAUUUUUUUGUUUAGAUUUUAGGACAAGUAAAUGUUUUGAAACGUAAUUAAUUUUGGACCUUUGAAUAUGUAGAUUUGGACAUCUUAAAGUCUUUGACGAAUAAUGAAAUUUAAUUACCGGUUUUUCGUUCUAUUGAAAAUCCUCGGAAAUUUAAACCCGCUUAUUCACACGUUGCACUUGAUACGCUUGCGUUUUUCAAGUCGUUGGAUCCUCGCAAUAUAAAAUUGUUCGAUCCUACUUUACUGCAUUUUUAAUUUUUGAUAAACGCGUUCUGUAUUUUGCGACUAAAUGGCAAUCGUCGACGAUCGAUCUGCAUGGGAUUUCUAUUUCCGUUCGGCUGCACGAUUUGCAUCGCCCUAAUUAAUCAUUAAGCAAUUGGUUGGAAAAAACAUGUAAACUUUUUCCAACCGGAAAUAAUUGAAACUGGGCAUUUAUACGGACUCUGUAAUAGACUGCCGGUUUUUUACAUAUAUAUUUUUAACUCAUUACCGUUUUCGUGCUAGACUUUGAUUGAUGUUGUCUUUCUCCUAUUGAUCUUGGUGAUGCAAUCUCGAAGUGUCACCUGUGUACUGCGAGAAACAUGAAUAAUGAGACGUUAUUAAUAGCAAGAAGGAUGUGUGCAUGUAAAGUAGGUUUUAGCGUUGUAAGACACAUGAGAGGCUUUUAUCGAACGUUAAGCGAAGUAAAAGCAAUUUCUGCGGUAAUAAUGCUCGGCUUGGAGCCGGCCAGACGUUGCUUUUAUUUGCGACAUAUUGUUAUUGUGUAAGUUAUAUAGAUAUAUUGUAGAUAUAUAAAUAUGUAAACCUGCGUGCCUUGUACGCCGUAAAACGCGUUCAUUAUUUAUUUACCAAUGGAUUAUAAUAAACUUUUUAUAUAUCGCAAGUUGCAUGUCGUUUUCCCUUAUUACUAUAAGACUUAAAAUAAGAUUUUUUUGUAACAGAUGCGAGAUUUUAAAUAUUAUGCUAUUGACUGCACGCGCUGAAGGAGGCAAAGUCAAGUAUUCUAAUAAAAUGACUUUUUUCAAUGUUA